UUUGGUCUGAUUACGAAUGUA
rnacentral:miRNA from 1 species